UACGUAGGGAGCAAGCGUUGUCCGGAAUCAUUGGGCGUAAAGCGCGCGUAGGCGGCCCUGUAAGUCCGUUGUGAAAGUCAAAGGCUCAACCUUUGAAAGCCGAUGGAUACUGCAGGGCUAGAGUCCGGAAGAGGCGAGUGGAAUUCCUGGUGUAGCGGUGAAAUGCGCAGAUAUCAGGAGGAACACCGGUGGCGAAGGCGGAUCUCUGGGCCUUACCUGACGCUGAGGCGCGAAAGCUAGGGGAGCGAACAGG
rnacentral:rRNA from 1 species